rnacentral:rRNA from 1 species
UACAGAGGGUGCAAGCGUUAAUCGGAGUUACUGGGCGUAAAGCGUGCGUAGACGGUUAUGUAAGUCGGGUGUGAAAGCCCCGGGCUCAACCUGGGAAUGCCAUUCGAGACUGCAUAGCUAGGGUGCGGAAGAGGGAAGCGGAAUUUCAGGUGUAGCGGUGAAAUGCGUAGAUAUCUGAAGGAACACCAGUGGCGAAAGCGGCUUCCUGGUCCAGCACCGACGUUCAGGCACGAAAGCGUGGGGAGCAAACAGG